CCGUAAUAUUCCAAAUUGUAGAAGAAUCUGAGUACAAAUCAAAUUUUGAUUUGUAUGAUGAAAUUGCAUUUACAGAUGUUGCGUUUUUUUCCCCUUUCAAUUUUUCAGAGCGUAUCAAGCACUCAACUUCAAGCAUGAAAAUCUGUCGCUGAUUCAACCCCGAUUCGUGGCGCCCCUGCCUCCUCUUCAACCAGCGGUACUGAAGAUCAUCUGGAGUAUUAUGUUCAUGAGUGUGGAGACAUCUUAAACCAUCAGCAUGAAGCUACCGGCAGACUCAACCGACGCUAAACACAUUAUGGAGCAUGUCUUUGCACAGGUGUCGGAAUUCAAGAAACUCGACCAAGCGACUGGAGUGCGUCCAUACACAGGGAACGUUGGAGCAGAUGAUGUUGAUGGUGUAGACAUGGCUUACAGGGUAGUGGCUGAUCAUAUUCGCACAUUGACCAUAGCUCUCUUGGACGGAAGCUGGCCAGAUAAUGUUGGAAGAGGAGCGUAUCAAGCACUCAACUUCAAGCAUGAAAAUCUGUCGCUGAUUCAACCCCGAUUCGUGGCGCCCCUGCCUCCUCUUCAACCAGCGGUACUGAAGAUCAUCUGGAGUAUUAUGUUCAUGAGUGUGGAGACAUCUUAAACCAUCAGCAUGAAGCUACCGGCAGACUCAACCGACGCUAAACACAUUAUGGAGCAUGUCUUUGCACAGGUGUCGGAAUUCAAGAAACUCGACCAAGCGACUGGAGUGCGUCCAUACACAGGGAACGUUGGAGCAGAUGAUGUUGAUGGUGUAGACAUGGCUUACAGGGUAGUGGCUGAUCAUAUUCGCACAUUGACCAUAGCUCUCUUGGACGGAAGCUGGCCAGAUAAUGUUGGAAGAGGAGCGUAUCAAGCACUCAACUUCAAGCAUGAAAUCUGUCGCUGAUUCAACCCCGAUUCGUGGCGCCCCUGCCUCUUCAACCAGCGGUACUGAAGAUCAUCUGGAGUAUCAUGUUCAUGAGUGUGGAGACAUCUUAAACCAUCAGCAUGAAGCUACCGGCAGACUCAACCGACGCUAAACACAUUAUGGAGCAUGUCUUUGCACAGGUGUCGGAAUUCAAGAAACUCAACCAAGCGACUGGAGUGCGUCCAUACACAGGGAACGUUGGAGCAGAUGAUGUUGAUGGUGUAGACAUGGCUUACAGGGUAGUGGCUGAUCAUAUUCGCACAUUGACCAUAGCUCUCUUGGACGGAGCUGGCCAGAUAAUGUUGGAAGAGGAGCGUAUCAAGCACUCAACUUCAAGCAUGAAAAUCUGUCGCUGAUUCAACCCCGAUUCGUGGCGCCCCUGCCUCUUCAACCAGCGGUACUGAAGAUCAUCUGGAGUAUCAUGUUCAUGAGUGUGGAGACAUCUUAAACCAUCAGCAUGAAGCUACCGGCAGACUCAACCGACGCUAAACACAUUAUGGAGCAUGUCUUUGCACAGGUGUCGGAAUUCAAGAAACUCAACCAAGCGACUGGAGUGCGUCCAUACACAGGGAACGUUGGAGCAGAUGAUGUUGAUGGUGUAGACAUGGCUUACAGGGUAGUGGCUGAUCAUAUUCGCACAUUGACCAUAGCUCUCUUGGACGGAGCUGGCCAGAUAAUGUUGGAAGAGGAGCGUAUCAAGCACUCAACUUCAAGCAUGAAAAUCUGUCGCUGAUUCAACCCCGAUUCGUGGCGCCCCUGCCUCUUCAACCAGCGGUAAGUCUACAUCACCACCAUAAUUUAAAACCAGUCAUCAUGUGGUUUUAGCUGAUGAUGAGAGUGACAUGGUUUUAGGUGAUGUUGAUGGGGAUGUGGUUUUAGCUGAUGAUGAG